UUUAUUUUAUCAAAGUGAGUAACUUGUUACUCACUCAUGAAAGAAAACGACCUUACUCACUUUUGAGUAAACACUAACAUAUUCGACUCACUUUGGAACUGUCAAAUACUUGUGAAAAUUUCGGCUUCCAAGUUUAGGAGUAAAUAUCGUUGUAAGAAUAUGUAUUAUACUAGUAAAACAGUGCUUAAAAUCUGUAGAAUUACCUAUAACGAAUCAUGCAAGUUGUGCAAUAGAUGAUUUAUUGUUACUGUUAUUAUUAAUCCCGAUAUCAAGUGAAGCGAGAUCGGAGUUUUUGAAGGUAACCAAGUCCUGGUUUUGAUCGAACAACCGCAAGAAAAAAGUUUAUAUAGAUCUUUCCGGAAAAGCUACUGGCUCGGGCAAACAUCCGGAUCAACAUCCAGCGAAUGAAUAUUCACCGGAAGAACAUUGAGUGGUAAAAUGCGCAGCAAAAUCGUUAAUUUUUGGUAAACACGGUCCGCAGUUUACUACGAACCUUCAGGUUUCUUCCUGCUGGAAGUUGCCGUGUGACGUCAUCGUAAAUUGAUCCCCCUCCGGGGAUCCAUUCCAGAGAAGCGAGAAAAAAAUGGACCCAAACAUCACAAUUGUAUUACUUGUAAUAUAAUGUACUAUUCAUAUAUUUAUGUAUGAGAUAAUAAAAUACAUGUUAUGUCUUUCGAA
rnacentral:lncRNA from 1 species